AUGACAGCGCAGCCGCCCUCUCCUCCCGCCAGAUUACGACCAGGAGCAGCGCGUUCAUUGGCUGCGUCGCUUCGCUUAGGCUUUGUUUUUGAUAUUCUUUUCUUCUUCUUCUUCUUCUUCUUCUUCUUCUUCUUCUUCUUCUUCUUCUUCUUCUUCUUCGUCGCGUUCAUUGGCUGGCUGGUUCCAAUAUUCUUUUCUUCUUCUUCUUCUUCGGUUGGAUGGCACCCACUGGCCGGGUCGCGCUUGUGGAUUACCUCUUUUGUUUCCCUAUCUAGGUCAAGAAACGAAUAUACCGCAGGAGGACAUACAGAGAGUUGUGCAUGCAGGGCAUGCCCGGCACCGCAGGUGCUUCUUCUGAUCCUCUUUGUGCAUGGGGAUUUCUCCUCGGUCACAAAGCGGUUGAAUAAGAAGAUCACGGCUGAGCUGACGGCCAGACCAGCACUAGCAUAG
rnacentral:rRNA from 1 species